AAUAAAUGGAAAGUGAAUGAAGGAAGGGAGGAAGGAAGGAGUAAGGGGCACCCUGGCUACGCCAUCCCCUGGUCCCCUGGGUGCCUCCAGCCUCCCUGAAGGAGGUGGCUGUGUAGAUCCUCCACGGGGUGACCCAGGCCGAGCAGGGUGCCCUGACUCACCCAGGGCAGGUCUUGUGUUGGGUGUCGCUCGCUCCACCCUGACCUUAACCCCAGGGGAAGGAAAGGUGGUGGGAGGAAAGCCCCGCCCACCAGGAUGCCCCGCCCACCCCGACUGCCCCGCCCACCUCACUUCUGAGGUCUUGGUUCUUCUCGCUCCGUCCAUGUGCCCUGCUGUCUUACGGAGGAGGAAGGUGAGAAAGAAGCUCCUGAGAUCUUACAGCUCCUGUGCGGCAGAGCUGGGGUCUGGAGCCCGGUUUCCCGGAUCCCAGUUUUCCGAAGUGUCACGCUACGGUGUCCCAUUCCCCUCUUUGCUCCAGUUGCUAGGGAGCUCAGCCUCCAGGCUGACUCUCAGGGGCCACAUCAGCCUAGGCUUUGGGUCAUAUUUGUGUCAGCCCCAUCCUUAGACUUUCAUCCUCCCUGCCGGGCCUCCCGUGGAGCAGGCCGGACAUAAGUUAUCAACUAUAAAUAAAACCAAGACUUCCGUUCUGGCUCUCACUUUA